rnacentral:rRNA from 1 species
AGUCGAGCGAUGAGAUCCCUUCGGGGAAGGAUUAGCGGCGAACGGGUGAGGAACACGUGAGGAAUCUGCCUUCAACACUGGGAUAACUCCGGGAAACCGGGGCUAAUACCGGAUACGAGACCUGCAGGCAUCUGCGGGUCUGGAAAGUUUUUCGGUUGAAGAUGACCUCGCGGCCUAUCAGCUUGUUGGUGAGGUAAUGGCUCACCAAGGCGACGACGGGUAGCCGGCCUGAGAGGGCGACCGGCCACACUGGGACUGAGACACGGCCCAGACUCCUACGGGAGGCAGCAGUGGGGAAUAUUGGGCAAUGGAGGGAACUCUGACCCAGCGACGCCGCGUGCGGGAUGAAGGCCUUCGGGUUGUAAACCGCUUUCAGCAAGGAAGAAGCGAAAGUGACGGUACUUGCAGAAGAAGCACCGGCUAACUAUGUGCCAGCAGCCGCGGUAAUACAUAGGGUGCAAGCGUUGUCCGGAAUUAUUGGGCGUAAAGAGCUCGUAGGUGGUUCGUCACGUCGGAUGUGAAAAUCUGGGGCUUAACCCCAGACCUGCAUUCGAUACGGGCGAGCUAGAGUGUGGUAGGGGAGACUGGAAUUCCUGGUGUAGCGGUGGAAUGCGCAGAUAUCAGGAGGAACACCAAUGGCGAAGGCAGGUCUCUGGGCCAUUACUGACACUGAGGAGCGAAAGCGUGGGGAGCGAACAGGAUUAGAUACCCUGGUAGUCCACGCCGUANACGGUGGGCACUAGUUGUGGGAACCUUCCACGGUUUCUGCGACGCAGCUAACGCAUUAAGUGCCCCGCCUGGGGAGUACGAUCGCAAGAUUAAAACUCAAAG